GCCGGGUGUGGUGGCGGGCGCCUGUAAUCCCAGCUACUCGGGAGGCUGAGGCAGGAGAAUCACUUGAACCCGGGAGGUGGAGGUUGCAGUGAGCCGAAAUAGUGCCAUUGUACUCCAGCCUGGGCAACAGAGUGAGACUCUGUCUCAA
rnacentral:SRP_RNA from 1 species